CUAAAUCAAAACAAGCAAAACAUACACUCAGAAGGGGAAGAAAAGAAACGGGGGAAACAGAGAGGGGGAAACGGGAAGAAGAGGAAGGAGAAGAGAGGGACGGGAUGGAAGGGAAGGCGCCGGAAAGACCAUCGUCGCCGUCGCCGUCAGGUGAAGGUGGAGGAGUGACUGAGAGAGAGUAGGACGUGAGGAAGGAGAAGAGAGAUUGAGAGAGGGAGACGGAGAGCUCAAGAGCAAGGAAGGGGAGGAAGGCUGCUCCCGUCAUCAUCGCCGAUUCUGCCUAGACCGCCGCCGUCGCCAUUGAGGGAGUCACUGCCUCCGAAUCCUAGCCGUCGCUGCUGUCAGAAGAACGAACCUGGAAGGAGAAGGAUGAGGUCUGUUCUCGCACUGUCCUGCUCUGCCACCGCCGCUGCCGUCGAUUGGGGUCACACCGUUGCUGUUGCGCCCUGUUUUCUUUGAUAGAGCCACUGUUGAGAGUCUGCCGUCAGAGAAGCAUUGUCGGCGUUGCUGCUGUAAACUAUUUCAGCUACUGCCCUGGUAUUGCUCGGUCACCACCGCCUCCUUCGUCCUUGUCUCUGAAUUCUGUACCAUUCACGACCUAUUUUGAUUAUUGUUAUUCUUUCUUGCCGCUUCUGCCUCCGUCGAUCGAACAGAAUGUGAGAAGGGAGAGGAGUUGUGUUCUUGUGCUGUCGUCGUCGUUGCCGAAACAAGGACAAAUUUACCGGAGAUAGUGUUGAUGAUAAUAAAGAACUGUUAGAGUUGCUGCUGCUGCUGCUAGUUUGGUUCGAGUCUGUUGCUGCUACAAACUAAAACAAAAGAGGGGUUUGCUGCUCUUAAUUAUCAAAUUUCGCCUAAUCGAGGGAGGGGGUUUACUUUAAACGGUUUUAAUUUAAGAAUGUCGACAAAGUUUAUUGGAUAACUGUAAAUAGGUAUAAUAGUUGUGAGUGAUUGAUUGAUUAUAUGAAUGUUAAAUUGUGGCUGAGAUUGUGAUUGGAA